rnacentral:rRNA from 1 species
GACGAACGCUGGCGGCGUGGAUUAGGCAUGCAAGUCGGACGGUAGGGCUUUAUCGUAAGAUAGAGUUUGAGAGUGGCGAACGGGUGAGUAACACGUAGGAAUCUACCCUCAAGACGGGGACAACCCAGGGAAACUUGGGCUAAUACCGGAUGUGAGCAACUUUUAGUUGUUUGAAAGGUGGCGUAAGCUGUCGCUUGGGGAUGAGCCUGCGCCCUAUUAGUUAGUUGGUGAGGUAACGGCUCACCUAGGCAAUGAUAGGUAGGCGGCCUUAACGGGUGGUCGCCCACACUGGGAUUGAGAUACGGCCCAGACUCCUACGGGAGGCAGCAGUCGAGAAUAGUCUACAAUGGUCGGAAGACUGAUAGUGCGACGCCGCGUGAACGAUGAAUCCCUUCGGGGUUAAAGUUCUUUUAAUGUGAGCAGUGCUUCUUAUAUUAACGUAUGGGGAAGAGAUAUUAGCAUAUGAAUAAGCAAACGGCUAAACUCCGUGCCAGCAGCCGA